rnacentral:misc_RNA from 1 species
UUGGUUCUUCCUCGUCUUCCACCUCAACAGUCCUUGAUUUCUCUUGCCACGUAUAAAUGGGGAAAGAAACAAAUUGUGAGUAGUUCUUCACCAAACCCUGAAUUUUGACUGGAUCUGAGAAUUCAUAUUUAUCGUCCUCCCUUAAAUAAAGUGUAAUUUGUGUUCCGCGACGUAGGAGCUUGUCAGGAUCACUUUCUUCCUUAAUCAAGUAAGAGCUACUGUCAGCUACUGCUUCCCAAACAUAUUGCCUAUCGGACAUUGGGCUCUUCGUAGCCACUACAACCUUCUCAGCCACAAGAAAAGCAGAUAGAACCCAACACCAAAUUGACCAAUCAAACCAUUGUCUGCCCCAAGAUCCUUAUUUUCCUUAAGAGCCUUAAGGAAUUUUGAAGUGCC